GCGGGGGUGCCCGAGGGGACAAAGGGGCCGGAUUGAGGGUCCGGUGGCUUAGUGCCUGCCUGGGUUCGAAUCCCAGCCCCCGCA
rnacentral:tRNA from 1 species